UGGGGAAUAUUGCACAAUGGGCGCAAGCCUGAUGCAGCCAUGCCGCGUGUAUGAAGAAGGCCUUCGGGUUGUAAAGUACUUUCAGCGGGGAGUAAGGGAGUAAAGUUAAUACCUUUGCUCAUUGACGUUACCCGCAGAAGAAGCACCGGCUAACUCCGUGCCAGCAGCCGCGGUAAUACGGAGGGUGCAAGCGUUAAUCGGAAUUACUGGGCGUAAAGCGCACGCAGGCGGUCUGUCAAGUCGGAUGUGAAAUCCCCGGGCUCAACCUGGGAACUGCAUUCGAAACUGGCAGGCUAGAGUCUUGUAGAGGGGGGUAGAAUUCCAGGUGUAGCGGUGAAAUGCGUAGAGAUCUGGAGGAAUACCGGUGGCGAAGGCGGCCCCCUGGACGAAGACUGACGCUCAGGUGCGAAAGCGUGGGGAGCAAACAGG
rnacentral:rRNA from 1 species